ACUCGAUAUUACCUACCACCCAUGCCGUAUUUCUCUGUCUCUUUCUCCCUAAUUAUCACCUCUGUAACGCUGUAUCCCGCCUUUGGAUCAGCUGUUCGCCUACCGCCAUGGCGCACGCGAUGUCAAAACGUCGAAAACGUUUUCCCCUUUCGCGAGUUUACCCGAUCGAAAGGAUAUUCCCGCGAGUAUCGACAAUGUAAAUUACACAAAUUACAAAUGUUAUUACGUCGUACGUCUCGUGUAUUAUGCAUACGCAAAAAGCGUUGUUACAUUAUUCGUUGAUGUGAUAUUCUUCGUUGGUGUGAUAUCGUUCGAGGGUUGCAACACAGUUUACUAAUUUUUGAUUGUCGUAAGGGUUCAAUGAUGUGAGUGGUCGUACACACCGGAGAACAUCAAAUGUCAAACAUCACAAUGGGGUGAAUAAGAUGAUUAUCGAUUUAUAGUGUCACAUAAUCUCUCGUAUUGGAAGAUGGAGUAAGAGAGAACCGAAAGGAAUAAUAUUGGCCAAGUUGGAGAUCUAUAUAGUAGAAUAGAAAGAGAGAGAGAGAGAGAGAGAGAGAGAGAGAGAGAGAGAGAGGGAGGUAGGGAGAAAGAGAGAAAUGAAGAGAACCGUCGAAAUAACAUAUACAAAGCCAUAAAUCGGAAGCAUGCUGCCGACGCAGCAAUGGUGUUAGCAACUACAGACUACCCUUGGGUGUAUCGGUGAAGAAUGAAAAUGCAAAAUCGCAGACAAACAUGCAAAUAGAUAGGCGUAUACAUUCAUACAUACACGAAGGAGAGAAGGCCUGCAUAUAACAGUCCUCGAUGGUGUAGAGUAUGAGAAUGAAGGGGGUUUGAAUGGAAGCGAAGAGAAGAUAGGGAUAUUAAUCCACAAGUAACCUCACCGCACGGUAAACUCUCGUAUACGUAUUGAAUGUGUGAGAGUGUAACUCUGUAGUAUAACGGGUGUCCCGCUAAAACUGAGUGGCUACACUACUGAUUUACACCCGAAGUCUAAGAGAAGUUAACGGGCGGGACUAGAAGAGCACGAGUUUACCGAGCUUUUUGGCA